rnacentral:rRNA from 1 species
AUGCCCAAUGGGGCACAAGCCUCGGCUGAGGAAGGCGAGGCGAGCGGGGGCGAGGCGAGCGGGGGCGAGGCGAGCGGGGGCGAGAGCCAGGAAGAGGAGGAGUGGGACUCGGAUGCCGCAGGGGGUGAUGACGACGAUGAUGAUGAUGAAGAUGAUGAAGAUGACAUCGAGGACGAGGAAGAAGAGGAAGAGGAGGAGGUCAUUCCACCGCGCUCAGAAAGGCGGUCGAAGCUUGUCCACGACCCUUCGACCGAACGUGGCAAGGGGGUUGCGACCGCCACCCAGUCGACCAAGCGCCCCCGGACCACCUCUCCAGCGCCGACUGAAAAGGCGCCGAAGCAGCCCAGGGCGGCCUCAUCGAAGCCGACCAAGCUCCUGCCGAAGAUGAAGGUGUCCAUCCCCACCAUUUCAAGGUAA